UACGGAGGAUGCAAGCGUUAUCCAGAUUCAUUGGGUUUAAAGGGUGCGUAGGCGGGCUAUUAAGUCAGUGGUGAAAUCCUGCAGCUUAACUGCAGAACUGCCGUUGAUACUGAUAGUCUUGAGUUUGGUUAAGGUAGGCGGAAUGUGUAAUGUAGCGGUGAAAUGCUUAGAUAUUACACAGAACACCAAUUGCGUAGGCAGCUUACUGAGCCGACACUGACGCUGAGGCACGAAAGCGUGGGGAGUCAAACA
rnacentral:rRNA from 1 species